rnacentral:rRNA from 1 species
GAUGCACGCUGGCGGCGUGCCUAAUACAUGCAAGUCGAGCGAAUGGAUUAAGAGCUUGCUCUUAUGAAGUUAGCGGCGGACGGGUGAGUAACACGUGGGUAACCUGCCCAUAAGACUGGGAUAACUCCGGGAAACCGGGGCUAAUACCGGAUAACAUUUUGAACCGCAUGGUUCGAAAUUGAAAGGCGGCUUCGGCUGUCACUUAUGGAUGGACCCGCGUCGCAUUAGCUAGUUGGUGAGGUAACGGCUCACCAAGGCAACGAUGCGUAGCCGACCUGAGAGGGUGAUCGGCCACACUGGGACUGAGACACGGCCCAGACUCCUACGGGAGGCAGCAGUAGGGAAUCUUCCGCAAUGGACGAAAGUCUGACGGAGCAACGCCGCGUGAGUGAUGAAGGCUUUCGGGUCGUAAAACUCUGUUGUUAGGGAAGAACAAGUGCUAGUUGAAUAAGCUGGCACCUUGGCGGUACCUAACCAGAAAGCCACGGCUAACUACGUGCCAGCAGCCGCAGUAA